CUUGAGACCUUAUAUCAUAUCCUAAUAUUUCAGAAAGCUAUUUUUGAUCAGUGUAAUCCUUCUGUGGUGCCUAGUGAUUUCCCUAUAUUGAACUGGAAGCUCUUUCAUAAGCAGUUCCCAACAGAAAUGCUCCUUUUAGCCUUAUGCAUUACUUGGAUCUUUUUCUCAGGGAUGGAGUGUUUUGUUUUUUUUUCCUUUAAAUUCUCUUUAAACUACUGACAUUAAUGCUCUCUAUAAAACUUGUUGUGGGCUCUGCUCUGUGUUUCAUACAUACUUGGAAUUAAGGAGAAUUUAUUAUCAUGUGGUCCUAAAGCAGCUUUUUCCAUAAGUCUUGAGUACACUCUCCUGCCAGGCGAGUGAUGAUUAUAUAUCAUAGUUAAAAAGGCUGUGAAAAGAGAUCCAACAGCGAAGAACAGUUAGAAGACUGGGAGGAAUUUGCAGCAGAAGAAAAACCUCAGCUCCCACAGAAGAUGGUGCAGAUUCUUCUGAGCAGGAGGAGCUGUGACUUGGGAGGUGAUCUAGUAAUGACGGAGGCUGACACCUGGAGGAGGCAGGAUACCUGAGCUCACAUUUCAGCCAAAGACAGGAUUUGGAAUCAGGGAUUUCAAUUCCAUUCAAUGGUGAUGGGAGACCUUCACAGUGGAAAGCAGAUGGGCACACUCAGAGCACCUGGCAUGUGUCAGAUCCCUGGAUCUGGCCUUUCUGAGUUGCUUCUGUUUUGUAAAAGAUUAAGUCUACCCACAAAGGACAGUUGGUGAGGACUCCUUCACACAGCCAUCGUAUUUGUUUCUGCUGCAGUUAGAUACAUACAGAAAUAUCCAGCUUUUAUUAUAAUUAUAUAUUUUUUUAUAUUUUUUACUUUGAAAAUUAAUAGAAGACAUUAUGGCCCUUCCCAGCCUCACAGGCUCCAGUUGUGUUUCCCUUUCCUGACUUUCCAUCAACCUUCUACCUUAAGCAUUCUGUCUCUCUGAAGCUAAAUUGUUGGACUUCAUCUUCUGGUAAAAUGUAUAUAAAAUUUAGCUUUAUUUAGAGAAAAAUCUCUAUAUCACUGUUUUAUGUUUGUAUGUAUAUGACUGUUCAUGAAGCAGUAAUUGAAAAUAGGACAGAAAAAGACUCUGAUGCAAAGAACAUCCUAAUGGAAGGAGGGUGGGUUCAAGUGCUCCAGUUUUGUCAUCUCAGGGUACAAUACUACUAAACCCUUGUCCUGGCACUGGAUGGAUUCUCCUUGCUGUUGUUACUGGGGACCUGAUGACCCUCUGGAGAACCCUGUGCCUUCUAGGGCACUGCUUGGUCCAGGAACAUCUGCAUCCCUAUGAACCAGUUCAUUCUGUCUUAUAUUCCCCUCCUCAGGAAAGGUACUGAUACAGUCUAAAUAAAACAUUCUUCUCAGCUUGAACA
rnacentral:lncRNA from 1 species